GCAGGAAGGGGCUCGCCAGUGGUUCCCUCACCCUUAGAGGCCAGGUCCCGGGCCUGGGGAGGAGGAGGUUAUUCACGCCCCAAGACCCGGGAACAAGGCGGCAGCCCCGCUCCCUGAGGGCUGUCCUUUCGCUGCUCUUCUCCACGAGGAAGCUCUACCGAGCUCCCGCAAGGAAGGAAAAAAAUAAAAUGUAAUAACCAUUUCUUACUUCCCCAUCCCCAGGGCUGAGCCGCGCUCGGGAUCGUUUAAAUGCACGAGGCUGCGGCUCUCCCGCACCGCACCGAGCAGCUCCCCGCACAUCCUGCACUGUCUGGGCGGGGGUUCCGUGGGCUCCAGCGGUAAGAUGUCAGGGGGUUAAAAUGUCCCACUCGCCUUCUCCCUUGAUCUCGGGGAGAGAGCGGCGCGGUGAGUCUGAACCGCCUUUAAGUGAGAUGUAACACGUGACGGAGGCAGAAACUUUCAGUGGGAGCGAGGAAAAAAGCAGCCCAGGAAGUGCAAAGUGGAAAGCAACCCUCUUCCUAUUUGACGACACCGCCAAUUCCUCCGGGAUCCCACCUGAGAUUAAAGCCUGAAUUUCAAUAAAUCAGCUCUAAUGAAA